CGUUCUCAGGGCGGGGUGAAAGUCCCCACCGGCGGUAUUCCCCAGAUUCGGGGAGAGCCCGCGAGCGCCCUCCAUGUGGAGCGGUCAGCAGAUCCGGUGAGAAGCCGGAGCCGACGGUAACAGUCCGGAUGAAAGAGAAA
rnacentral:ncRNA from 1 species